rnacentral:misc_RNA from 1 species
AACUGAUACUACCUGCGGGAACCUGCGGAGGGAUCAUUAUCGUAUCUCUGACGGCGAGGGUGCGCCCAGCUCCGGACCGCAAGUCCGUGCAGCGGGAGAGCCCGAGCCGCUCAACUCCCAAACCCCUGUGCACCUUCACGGCAGAGGACGCCGGCGAGAGCUGCGUCCGAAGCCGCAUCACAGACUCGGUUCAAUAGAAUGUCUUGCGGGCUACGUCCGCCUAAACUUUAACAACUUUCA